rnacentral:rRNA from 1 species
GGAGGAUCCGAGCGUUAUCCGGANUUACNGGGUUUUAAGGGAGCGUAGANGGAUGCUUAAGNCAGUCGUGAAAGNNUGCGGCUCAACCGUAAAANNGCAGUNGAUACUGGAUAUCUNGAGUGCAGUNGAGGCANGCGGAAUUCGUGGUGUAGCGGUGAAAUGCUUAGAUAUCACGAAGAACUCCGAUUGCGAAGGCAGCCUGCUAANCUGCAACUGACAUUGAGGCUCGAAAGUGUGGGUAUCAAACAGGAUUAGAUACCCUGGUAGUCCACACGGUAAACGAUGAAUACUCGCUGUUUGCGAUAUACUGCAAGCGGCCAAGCGAAAGCGUUAAGUAUUCCACCUGGGGAGU